CGGGCUGUGAUGAUUGGCGCAGGGGUACGGACCUCAGCUAUGUCAUGGGAGCUGAGUGUAUGUGUUUUGCCUUUGUCCUGCAUGUGGCAGGCUGAAGCAAGCACUUACACGAGGAUGCCUCAAUCUGAGCCUG
ensembl:snoRNA